rnacentral:rRNA from 1 species
UGGGGAAUCUUGGACAAUGGGGGCAACCCUGAUCCAGCAACGCCGCGUGAAGGAUGAAGUAUUUCGGUAUGUAAACUUCGAAAGAAUAGGAAGAAUAAAUGACGGUACUAUUUAUAAGGUCCGGCUAACUACGUGCCAGCAGCCGCGGUAAUACGUAGGGACCAAGCGUUGUUCGGAUUUACUGGGCGUAAAGGGCGCGUAGGCGGCAAUUCAAGUCAUCUGUGAAAUCUCCGGGCUUAACUCGGAACGGUCAGAUGAUACUGCUUUGCUAGAGUGCAGAAGGGGCAAUCGGAAUUCUUGGUGUAGCGGUGAAAUGCGUAGAUAUCAAGAGGAACACCUGAGGUGAAGACGGGUUGCUGGGCUGACACUGACGCUGAGGCGCGAAAGCCAGGGGAGCAAACGGGAUUAGAUACCCCCGUAGUCCCUGAGCGGGCUGGCAAGGCGCAU